UACAGAGGGGGCAAGCGUUGAUCGGAAUUACUGGGCGUAAAGGGCGCGUAGGCGGCCUGCUAAGUCGAACGUGAAAUCCCUGGGCUCAACCCAGGAACUGCGUCCGAUACUGGUUGGCUUGAAUCCGGGAGAGGGACGUGGAAUUCCAGGUGUAGCGGUGAAAUGCGUAGAUAUCUGGAGGAACACCGGUGGCGAAGGCGACGUCCUGGACCGGCAUUGACGCUGAGGCGCGAAAGCCAGGGGAGCAAACGGG
rnacentral:rRNA from 1 species